GGGACCUAAGGCGAGGCCGACGGGCGUAGUCGAUGGAUGACGGGUUGAUAUUCCCGUACCGGACCGGAUACCGACCGUGCUGACGUGCGGGUGCUGACCCACGCCCCGCGCCGCCCAUCGCGCCUCCCGGCCGGUUAUUCGUAACCGCGGGGGGCGGGCGGCGGGGGUCUGGGGACCCUCCGUGCAGGUAGGCAAGCGUAGUAACAGGGGUGACGCGCAGUGGUGGCCCCGCGGGUCUGAUGGCUCGGCCCGUUCAAGCGCGCGGCCCGCCGCCCAGGCAAAUCCGGGCGGCUGCCUUCAAUGGCGGGGGUGAGGCGCGAUGGUGACCCGGCCCGGUGGGGUCGGGGAAGUAGGGUGAUCCUGUGGCGCCGAGAAAAGCCUCGACGCGAGGGGCCGGUCCGCCCGUACCCCAAACCGACACAGGUGGUCGGGCAGAGCAUGCCCAGGCGCACGGGCGAACCGUGGUGAAGGAACUCGGCAAAACGCCCCCGUAACUUCGGGAGAAGGGGGGCCCGAGCCCUGAGGCCCCGAGCGGGCUGGGGGUGAGGGUCGCAGAGGCCAGGGGGGAGCGACUGUUUACUAAAAACACAGGUCCGUGCGAAGCCGCAAGGCGAUGUAUACGGACUGACGCCUGCCCGGUGCUGGAAGGUCAAGAGGACCCGUCAGCCCCCCUUGCGGGGGUGAAGCGGUGAAUUCAAGCCCCAGUAAACGGCGGUGGUAACUAUAACCAUCCUAAGGUAGCGAAAUUCCUUGUCGGGUAAGUUCCGACCUGCACGAAUGGCGUAACGACUCCCCCGCUGUCUCCACCACGGGCCCGGCGAAAUUGCAUUACGAGUAAAGAUGCUCGUUGCGCGCAGAAGGACGGAAAGACCCCGGGACCUUCACUGCAGCUUGGUAUUGGCGCCCGGUUCGGCUCGUGCAGGAUAGGUGGGAGACUGUGAGGCCGCCGCGUCAGCGGUGCGCGGAGUCGUCGUUGAGAUACCACUCCGGCCGUGUCGUGCGCCUGAACCUGGGCCCGUGAUCCGGGUCAGGGACAGUGCCUGGCGGGUAGUUCAACUGGGGCGGUUGCCUCCCAAAGGGUAACGGAGGCGCUCAAGGGUCCCCUCAGCCUGGUCGGCAACCAGGUGUCGAGUGCAAGUGCACAAGGGGGCUUGACUGCGAGACCGACGGGUCGGGCAGGUGCGAAAGCAGGAACUAGUGAUCCGGCGGCUCCGUGUGGACGGGCCGUCGCUCAACGGAUAAAAGGUACCCCGGGGAUAACAGGCUGAUCCUGCCCAAGAGUCCAUAUCGACGGCAUGGUUUGGCACCUCGAUGUCGGCUCGUCGCAUCCUGGGGCUGGAGCAGGUCCCAAGGGUUGGGCUGUUCGCCCAUUAAAGCGGUACGCGAGCUGGGUUUAGAACGUCGUGAGACAGUUCGGUCCCUAUCCUCUGCGCGCGCAGGAGACUUGAGGAGACCCGUCCCCAGUACGAGAGGACCGGGACGGACGGACCUCUGGUGCGCCAGUUGUCCCGCCAGGGGCACCGCUGGUUGGCCACGUCCGGGAAGGGUAACCGCUGAAGGCAUCUAAGCGGGAAACCACCUCCAAGACCAGGUCCCCGCACAACCCCCCCCGGGGGGUUGUGGAAGGCCCCCAGUGGACCACUGGGUCGAUAGGCCGGAGGUGCAAGCCCGGCAACGGGCUCAGCCGACCGGUACUAAUAGGCCGACACGAACCACA
rnacentral:rRNA from 1 species